rnacentral:lncRNA from 1 species
GUCCACCCCAGGUCCUGGCUCCUCUCCAGGACCUCCAGCAAGAGAGGCAAAGAGGUAUGUCCUUGUGCCGAAUAUAGCCAGUCAAUAGUGGCUGCCUACAAUAGUGAGUGAAAAAAGACUUGGGGUCACACUUGGACUCAUAAGGAAAGAUGCACUGGUCAGUAACUGAUGUCCCUAUGAACACAGGACACAGUUAGUGAUCCCUCACCUAGCAUCUCACUCAACCCCAAAGCUAUGCCCUCUUGGCCAAGCUAGACUGGAUGCUUCUCUGUAGUCAUCUCCAGGCUGUCCCACUCUUGUAUCAGUCAGGACUCUUCUGCUUGCAAAUGACAGAAUUCAGCUUGAUCUGGACAUAAAGAAAAUGGAAAAUAGCUGGAUUCUUAAGGUCAGAAUUCUUGAUAUCUCCACCUUCCAGGCAGAUAAUUGUCCUGCUGGAAGGUUGACUUGACCUGCCCAAGCGGUCCAGCUUCGAGCGCCGCAGCAAUAACAAACGAUCGGAGCUUCUCUCUUUUUUACUAGAGUAAUGCUCAGCCACGCUUCCUUUUAAGCACAUAAUUACUCGGCGGCAACUGAAGCCCAUACAUCCCUCUCUCCUAAUGGUCAUGGAGCCAUUCAGCCAUAAUUUAUGGGGACAGGGUUCAAAGUUUUAAUAAUAUUUGGAUAAUAUCAUUGCCCACACGUCGGUGGCGUCGUGAUGGAUAGAAGGAGCGCAGGCUUAUUUCGAUUCCAUGCAUGACAGUGUGCACGUUAACGACUGGGUGCCCGGCGUGGCCUUUAUGGAAGCUGCCACCAGGCCAUCAGCUCAUGAAUUAUAGAUCUGGGCAUGAAGGAUUAUAAACAGCAGAGGGGAUCGCAUAGGGAUGUUGUGCAUGAGGAACUGUCCUGUUAGUGCCUCUUCCUUAUGCAGAUAAAUGAAUUGCAGGGAAUACCAAAAUGGUGUAAAUAAACCCUUAGUGGAUAAUGUAUUAGCACAUCAACAUAAAAAACUCAAUGCUGGGGCCUGCUUGGAGAUAUUUAUGUUUAUACUCUCUGCUCAAGUGGCUUUCUGGUUUUUUGGCUUCUUACCGCUUACCUCAUAAUUCCCACAUCCUAACAGCACCUCUGGGCACGUUUCUCCAAUGCUCUGCAGAGCCUGUUGACAUUUGUACACAAAUUUGCCCAAAGAAUUCUUUUGGAGCAGGCAAGUGGGUAAAGGAAAGUCAUUAAAUUCAAAGUAGACUUAACAUUGCUUGGGAACAUUGUGGGGUGGCUUCCAAACAGAGACUACAUUCUGGCAAGAGCCAGUGGAAGAAAAAGAGGCAACUAUCUCCCCCACAAGUAGAAAGAAGAGACAUGAUCUCAGC